CCUACGGGGGGCUGCAGUGAGGAAUAUUGGUCAAUGGACGCAAGUCUGAACCAGCCAUGCCGCGUGCAGGAAGACGGCUCUAUGAGUUGUAAACUGCUUUUGUACGAGGGUAAACGCAGAUACGCGUAUCUGUCUGAAAGUAUCGUACGAAUAAGGAUCGGCUAACUCCGUGCCAGCAGCCGCGGUAAUACGGAGGAUUCAAGCGUUAUCCGGAUUUAUUGGGUUUAAAGGGUGCGUAGGCGGUCGGAUAAGUUAGAGGUGAAAUCCCGAGGCUCAACGUCGGAAUUGCCGCUGAUACUGUUCGGCUAGAGAGUAGUUGCGGUAGGCGGAAUGUGUGGUGUAGCGGUGAAAUGCUUAGAGAUCAUGCAGAACACCGAUUGCGAAGGCAGCUUACCGGGCUACUUCUGACGUUGAGGCACGAAAGCGUGGGGAGCGAACAGGAUUAGAUACCCUAGUAGUC
rnacentral:rRNA from 1 species